AUACGGAGGGUCCGAGCGUUAUCCGGAUUUAUUGGGUUUAAAGGGUGCGUAGGCGGUUUUAUAAGUCAGCGGUGAAAUUUUCCGGCUCAACCGGGAUACUGCCGUUGAUACUGUAAGGCUAGGAUAUGGUUGCUGUGGGUGGAAUGUGUGGUGUAGCGGUGAAAUGCUUAGAUAUCACGAAGAACUCCGAUUGCGAAGGCAGCUUACUAAGCUGUAACUGACAUUGAGGCUCGAAAGUGUGGAUAUC
rnacentral:rRNA from 1 species